rnacentral:rRNA from 1 species
AGGACGAACGCUGGCGGCGUGCUUAACACAUGCAAGUCGAGCGGAAAGGCCCUUCGGGGUACUCGAGCGGCGAACGGGUGAGUAACACGUGAGUAAUCUGCCCCUAGCUCUGGGAUAGCUCCGGGAAACCGGGAUUAAUACCAGAUACGACCACUUUAGACAUCUGUUGUGGUGGAAAGAAUUUUGGCUAGGGAUGAGCUCGCGGCCUAUCAGCUUGUUGGUGAGGUAACGGCUCACCAAGGCGACGACGGGUAGCCGGCCUGAGAGGGCGACCGGCCACACUGGGACUGAGACACGGCCCAGACUCCUACGGGAGGCAGCAGUGGGGAAUAUUGCGCAAUGGGCGAAAGCCUGACGCAGCGACGCCGCGUGGGGGAUGAAGGCCUUCGGGUUGUAAACCCCUUUCAGCAGGGACGAAGCGAAAGUGACGGUACCUGCAGAAGAAGCGCCGGCUAACUACGCGCCAGCAGCCGC